rnacentral:rRNA from 1 species
AGAGUUUGAUCCUGGCUCAGGAUGAACGCUAGCUACAGGCUUAACACAUGCAAGUCGAGGGGCAUCAGGAAGAAAGCUUGCUUUCUUUGCUGGCGACCGGCGCACGGGUGAGUAACACGUAUCCAACCUGCCCUUUACUCGGGGAUAGCCUUUCGAAAGAAAGAUUAAUACCCGAUAGCAUAAUGAUUCCGCAUGGUUUCAUUAUUAAAGGAUUCCGGUAAAGGAUGGGGAUGCGUUCCAUUAGGUUGUUGGUGAGGUAACGGCUCACCAAGCCUUCGAUGGAUAGGGGUUCUGAGAGGAAGGUCCCCCACAUUGGAACUGAGACACGGUCCAAACUCCUACGGGAGGCAGCAGUGAGGAAUAUUGGUCAAUGGGCGCUAGCCUGAACCAGCCAAGUAGCGUGAAGGAUGAAGGCUCUAUGGGUCGUAAACUUCUUUUAUAUAAGAAUAAAGUGCAGUAUGUAUACUGUUUUGUAUGUAUUAUAUGAAUAAGGAUCGGCUAACUCCGUGCCAGCAGCCGCGGUAAUACGGAGGAUCCGAGCGUUAUCCGGAUUUAUUGGGUUUAAAGGGAGCGUAGGUGGACUGGUAAGUCAGUUGUGAAAGUUUGCGGCUCAACCGUAAAAUUGCAGUUGAUACUGUCAGUCUUGAGUACAGUAGAGGUGGGCGGAAUUCGUGGUGUAGCGGUGAAAUGCUUAGAUAUCACGAAGAACUCCGAUUGCGAAGGCAGCUCACUGGACUGCAACUGACACUGAUGCUCGAAAGUGUGGGUAUCAAACAGGAUUAGAUACCCUGGUAGUCCACACAGUAAACGAUGAAUACUCGCUGUUUGCGAUAUACAGUAAGCGGCCAAGCGAAAGCAUUAAGUAUUCCACCUGGGGAGUACGCCGGCAACGGUGAAACUCAAAGGAAUUGACGGGGGCCCGCACAAGCGGAGGAACAUGU